AUUUUUAUUGUAAAUUGAUUGCACACAUAUCACAUUUUCAGAAAACCUGAGGGGAACUACAGGUUUAGAAUGACUUCGCCUCCGCCUCUUUUCUCGUUCGAUCCUCUACGGCCUCCGCUUCCUCUCUCCUUCGUUCUUCUACGCCCCUGCCUCCGCCUCUGCUUUUUCGAUUGUCUGCCUUCCUCCUCCUCCUCUGCUUUUUCGAUUGUCUACCUUCCUCCUCCUCCUCCUCCUACUUGGCUCUUCUCCUCAGCUAUCAGCUAUUUCAUACCCAGAAGUGUUGGAUCCUGAGCAAGCAGUGAAAGGGCUAUCUGGUAAUCUAAUGACUAAUACUAUUAGUUGGAUAUGCUGUAUGUUUUCUCUUCAAAAUUCUAGAUUUAGUAGGGUUGGCAUACACUAUCAUGACCUGAUAUAUUUUCAGUCUGUUUUAAUUACUGGCUAUUAGGGUGUGGUUUGAAACUUUGACUGAUGGGGGGGGGGAGCUUGGACGGAGUUUUCUUAUUUUUGUGAAAUGGGUUUUGGAGGAUUAGGGAUUUUAGGGGAGUGUGUGAGUUCGCUGUUUUGGUGGAAGAUAUAUGCAGAAGGGUUAUGAUGAUGAUGGGGGUGGGUUUUUGUGUUUUGUUAAUUCUUUUGUUUGUCGGAAGAAGAAUGAGAUAUUUUUCCAACUCUUAUGAGUGAGUUGGGUUCAAAAGCAAUUAUUGUUGGUUUUAUAUUUUGAUUUAUUUGCAACUGUCUUUAUAGAAUUUAAUUUUUAAUAGUAAUAUAUGUAUUCUUCAUGAAUGGUUUUGCUCUGUUCAGGUGCGUCUGUCUACAUGGGUUUGUGCUUGAAGCAUAAUGCAAGUUUUGUUAAUAAAUUCUCUGUUUUAUGCUGUGCAGGUGUGAAUUGGAAUAAAUAAAAAAAAUUUGCUGGGUUUUUGAGACUUGUGAUGUUAUUCAUCAGUAUUCAUGCCUGGUUUCUUCUUGCAAUAAUUUUGUUGAUUGUGAGCUUUUCCCUCUAGCGCUUGUUGCUGAUACUGAUUGUGAAGGUGAAUUGGUUGUGCUUUAUGAUGUUUGAACCUCAUUUCUGUUUCUUCUCUUUCAUGCCAAUAGGUUGUAGGAAACUCCGCUCUCAAACAUAGACAAUGAACAAUUGAGUUGACAUGCUGCUGGGAGAAUUGUUUGCAAUGCAGAGAAGACUUGUCUCUUACUUUUGUGAUGAUGAACUGGGUGAGAUUCUUUAAGAGUGAUGUGUCAUAUUUGAAUUUUUGAAUAUCAUAUUUUAGUUUUGUUUUUAAGUUUUGAACUUUGUUCUAUUUCAGCAUCCUAUAGACCUGUGUUAACUUAUAUCUACAUGUGAUAUGGAUAUAACUUAUGCUUUCAAAUUAAUUUGACUUGUGUUAUAUCUUGUUUCGUACCUUUGUUUCGAAAAUUUCUUUGUAAAGACCAAAAAGAAUAGUGUGUUUUUGUCAUGAAUGAUGUAUGGACAAAUUGGAAUGUGUUGAAUAUGAUGCAAGCUGGUGUUACAGAGCAUGAUAUCCAAUAUGAUGAUGUAUGGGUGCAUGUAAUAUUAACCCAUAUUAACUCUGUUAAGGAAAUAGGGAAAAAGGCCAUGGCAUUGAAAUUAGUAUUGCUAGUCUUCUGUACAUCCUAUGUAUUUAUUAAGACGUGGGUAUUUGAAUUGAUCCGAUUCAUGAAGAUCAAGAAUUAGAUUGAUUGGCGGAGUAGGUGAUUCCAUAUCUAGUAUUUCUCUCUCCUAUUUCAAGCGAGUAAUUAUGCCAUUAAGUGGUCUUGAGAAUUGACAUUAAAUUUGCAUAUAAUCUAAUAAUCAGUUUUUGUUUGAGUAUAAGAAAGAAUGUUUUUUUAAUUUCUCUCUGUUCUCAUCAUUGGUAUUAGAACUUUCAAUGCCAUGGCCAACAAUGCUUUGUAUUAAUCCUGCUGAUUAUGCUUAUCUUGCAGGUUGUAGCAAGCAAUUUUGACAUAAGAGUUGAGUUGAAAUUGAAACUUGCUAUUGAACCAAAAGGGAGCUGCUGAAAGUGGGUCUAAGCAGCAGCAACAACAACCCAACAGGUAUGUGGUGCUUCUCUGUCACCAUAAUUCUAUGUUCUGCAAUUUCUGAUAAUCAGUUUAUGUUUGAGUAUAAAAAAGAAAGUCACAGAUUAUGAUUUUGUUCUUGCCAAUAUUGUUAAUGGCAGGGUAGACAUGGAUCGAAAGAGAAAGAGGAAGAUUGUGACAACUCUAGUUGCAGUAGAGUUAGAUAAACAACAUUUGUGUGCAUCCAUGAUGUCAGUAACUGUCAUAUAUACUUUGACAGAUGGUACUAUGAAAAAUACCAUUACCGCAUCUGACCAAUGGUCUGGAUGGAGGGAUAGUAAAUAGAAAAUCUAUAUGUUGGGGGUUUUCUGGCUAGCUAAAAAUCUGUGAGAAAUGAUGAAUCCAUCUGAUUGCAGCCUAUUUAAUGUUUAAUACCUUCAUUAAAAAAAGGUUGUUGACAGUGCUUUGACUAUCUUGCAGAUUAUAAUGGCAAAACCAGCAGGUGGCCCUAGUGAGAGAGAUCAGCAUGCAGGGAUGGAUGAGGACUAAUUUUGUGUGUAUGACAAUUGACUAUCUUUGCUUGUAUUGCUCUAUGUUAGGGAUCUUUUGUUCCAUUUUAGUAACAAUUUUGUUUAGGAGAAAAAGAAACAUAUUGCAGUUCAUGCUUUGUAAAUGCCACUAUUAUGUUAUGAUGGACACGUGGUAUGCCCUUGUUGGGUAGGUUUUGGAUUGAAACCAUGGUCGAGUGCUUGAGCCAUGUUUAGUGUGAAGCUUGAAUGGAUUUUCUUUUAUGUUGUAUUUGGCCCUUGUCUUUUCAAGCAUGCCAAAAAUCAUCCUAGUUUUGUAAUAUGUGGUUUGUGUCCAAUUAAUUUACUGUGGACCUUGCAUUUUUGUACCCAAUAUUUGAUAGCUGC
rnacentral:lncRNA from 1 species